rnacentral:rRNA from 1 species
UAACAAGGAUUCCCCUAGUAACUGCGAGUGAAGCGGGAUGAGCUCAAAUUUGAAAUCUGGCAGUGUAACAGCUGUCCGAGUUGUAAUUUAGAGAAGUGUUUUCUGUGCCAGACCGUGUACAAGUCUCCUGGAAUGGGGCGUCAUAGAGGGUGAGAAUCCCGUCUUUGACACGGCUCUCUACUGGUGCUAUGUGAUACACUCUCAAAGAGUCGAGUUGUUUGGGAAUGCAGCUCAAAAUGGGUGGUGAACUCCAUCUAAAGCUAAAUAUUGGCGAGAGACCGAUAGCGAACAAGUACCGUGAGGGAAAGAUGAAAAGCACUUUGGAAAGAGAGUGAAACAGUACGUGAAAUUGCUGAAAGGGAAACGAUUGAAGUCAGUCACAUUUGCUAGAAUUCAACCCUUAUGGGUGUAUUUUCUUAGUUGAAUGGGUCAGCAUCACUUUUGGCCAUUGGAAAAGGGCGAGAGGAAUGUGGCACUCUUUUAUUAGGGUGUGUUAUAGCCUCUGUUGUCAUAUACAGUGGGUUCAGGAGUGAGGAAUGCCUUUGUAGGAUGCUGGCAUAAUGGCUUUAAACGAC